rnacentral:lncRNA from 7 species
ACUCCUUUCCCAGAACUUCUACCUGGAGCUGGCUGCAGAAGUGAAAAAUGAAUCAUUACAUAUUUCUCUUCCACAUGCUGAAGUGCUGCUGCGUCCCCUCUUUAAAGACACCAAGACCAAACGUGCUCAGCAAGAGGCAGAAUUCAAGUGUUUAUACUGAGAGAAGAAGUCACUCCUGGACGCACCGAAUCGUGCAGGACUCAAAUCACAGGGGCUGCCCAGCACUGCCAGCUCCAUGUGGGCAUAUGGCCAGCAGAGCUCUGCCAGCAGCCCUGGAAAUCUGCUCACCCUCUGGGCUGAAGAAGGAAGGUACAAACAGAAUCAGACACCGGACUUUACAGCAGUGUGCAGCAUAAUGGAAGAUCAUGAGAUCAUCACUAAUACAGAAUAUUAGAAGAAAGUGCACAGGAUCCCCCGUUGAUCACCGAAAGCAGUUAUCAGGGAAGUAUCAAACUAGUAACACUCCCUAAGUGUGGGUUAGAGACCACCACCAAAGUCAAGCUUUUGGGCCAGCUCAACUGCUUAGCUGACCAAAGAUAGCAGUUUCCAUUCACUACAUAGGCUGGUCACAACACAGAUAUUACUUUCUAUAGUAGAUGCUUUCAAAAAUUUGUCUGCGUGGAUUUUUAUUUCCAUUUUGCAGUUGUUUUCUUUCUUUUUCCCACAGAAAUAAUACCCGCACUUCUCACUCCACAUCACUAACAACGAUUAACAUUGUACAUUUAUUGCGUAUGUCAUCAUAUCAACAGCUUAUUUUUUAAAUGAUCCUAUUUGUUGUUUCAUGAGGCAUGGAUUUUUCUUCCUUAGUCAGAAUACUACGUUGUUCUAACAAUUAAAAUUAAUACCAUAUCACUCAUAAUUAAAAUCAUCAUAUUUAAGUUAGCUCACUGAUGCUGAGCCUGAUUUGGUAUUCCUCAAGACUCAAUCUGACAUAAUGUUCUG